rnacentral:tRNA from 1 species
AGAGGACUGAAAAUCCUCGUGUCACCAGGUCAAAAAGG